rnacentral:lncRNA from 1 species
CGAGUUCAACUUGUGCAAGAUUUACUCUUACACAGUUUAAGGUGCUGUUCAGAAUCCAUUAUUCUAAAGCAAAACUAUCGCAGAUAUACCCUACAGUUGCAGAUACUUGUGACAAAUGUCAUCUAUCACCUUGUUAUUUAGCACAUAUGUUCUACUCAUGUCCAUUCCUGGAUGACCUCUGGAAGAACUAUUUUGACACAAUGUCCAGAAUACUUGCAAUCCUUGUGGUUUCAUCCCCUCACACUGCCAUCUUUGGUGUCCCGGAAGACUAUGCACAGUUUAAUUCUAAACAUUUGGGAGUAUUAGCCUUUACCUCUUUGAUAGUAAGACGCCAUCUUCUUCUUCAUUGGAGGUUGUAGGGGAAUCUCUUCAUACAUUUAGGUUAAGAAAUAGAGUAAUUAUCUUUUAGUAAGAAGCCACAACUAAUCUAGGUUGGCCUGUUCCUGCAGCCCCAUGACCCUGAGAUUGUAAGCAAGGCUGUCUUGCAGGAGCCUGAACCAUGUGUCUGGUGGAACAUUUAGGGCUCUAUUUUCGUGCGCGCCGGUGAGGCGGCGGAGGGCGGCGAGCCCCGCGCAGUUGUAUUUUCGUCUGGCAGAGCCCAGCGUAAGGCCAAUUUGGUGUUUUCGUGGCAUGAGCCGCACGUCUCCGUGUCCUCUGUCCGUCUUGCUGCUGCUGCAGCUGAACAGAUGAUUUGUUUCAGUGCUCAGAUGCGUUAUCUACUUUAAGCCGACAUACGGAUAUUAUAAUAUUCAGUUUUGUGAGCCAAAUUUAUUUUAUAUGCCAACAUCUAUGAAAGAAAGAGCCAGGCCACGGAGCGCGAUGCGUCAUUUACGCACAGAUGGUUCCGAUUUUAAUGCCAUUUUUGGAGUUUAUGUUGUGAUCUGUGCGCUCAACCCACCUUUGUCACGUGAGGUUUGAAUAUGAGCAACUUUAUGUGAGUGUCUUUAUUUGUGGAAAAGGGUGUUUGUCUUACCACUGGGUCCAACAUUACACACACUAAAUCCAUCUGUGCUCAUAUGAGAGAGUGUGGAGGACACUUGUUGAGGAGCUGCCCUCUGUCGCCAUCUUGUGGCAUUACUGUCUUAAGACAUCUCUUGAUCUCUUUGACUACUUCAUGAAAAUAGUAGUACGCCUCGCCUGUGGCGGAUUUAAAGGCAAGGAGAGGAGCUUAUGUGAUUGGUGAAAACAGGUCUCGGCUGUGUUAAACCCACUACACGCCCUUUCCCCUCCCCGUCUACGACUUAUGCUGCUGGGAGGAGCUGAGUUAGGGAGGGGGGAUACUUACGCCGGGCUGCGCGGCUCACCAAAAUACCAAAAUGUGCUUGGGAACGCCUUGUCAGCGCGGCGGAUCUGACUGACGCUGCGCUUGCGGCACGUCUCAGGCGCGGCACCAAAAUAGAGCCCUUAGUCUCUGCAAGGGUCAAGAUGAGCCUAAACAAAGUGUCGUGGGGCAGACAUGACAUCAUGAGGGGCCUUCUGGAGAAUUCACACACACACACACACACACACACACACACAGGAUAAAAGGGAGUAGAAGAAAAGCUAGGGAGGCUUCCUUCGGUCUUGGUCGAGACUCUGUUUGUCAUCUGUACUGAUUUCUACAUCUGUACUAUUAAAGACGCCCCAGGCUGUUCUUCAGAUCUCAUCCUGUCUCCUGUGCAUUGUUUAUGCUGGACUUUCUACAACAUAAUGGCGAGCCAGCCAGGAACAUAAUUGGCGAGCUUUAGCCAGAAUUCGUUUCGGGGGACAAGGGACCAUGGUUCUGUGAACUUCACAUGGGAUAAGGACACUGUGCGCACAAAAAAGAAAAAGGUAGGAGAUUUCCUAAAAUUUGGUUGAGAGUUCUUUUCCCUGUGAGGUGGUGCGGACUACUGUUCUCUGUCCUCUUCAAAUCAAAGAACCUAGAAUAGAAAUAAGAGGAGACAGUGGGAAUGAAGACAGUCUGAGAAAACUGCAUGCAUGCAGUCAGCUGAUCAAAGUCUGCCAAAUUUGUGAGGAAGCCAAUUAAAAUUGGAUAUACACUCACCGGCCACUUUAUUAGGUAUACCUGUCCAACUGCUCGUUAACACUUAAUUUCUAAUCAGCCAAUCACAUGGCGGCAACUUAGUGCAUUUAGGCAUGUAGAAAUGGUCAAGACAAUCUCCUGCAGUUCAAACCGAGCAUCAGUAUGGGGAAGAAAGGUGAUUUGAGUGACUUUGAACGUGGCAUGGUUGUUGGUGCCAGAAGGGCUGGUCUGAGUAUUUCAGAAACUGCUGAUCUACUGGGAUUUUCACGCACAACCAUCUCUAGGGUUUACAGAGAAUGGUCCGAAAAAGAAAAAAUAUCCAGUGAGCGGCAGUUCUGUGGGCGGAAAUGCCUUGUUGAUGCCAGAGGUCAGAGGAGAAUGGCCAGACUGGUUUGAGCUGAUAGAAAGGCAACAGUGACUCAAAUAACCACCCGUUACAACCAAAGUAGGCAGAAGAGCAUCUCUGAACGCACAGUACGUCGAACUUUGAGGCAGAUGGGCUACAGCAGCAGAAGACCACACUGGGUGCCACUCCUUUCAGCUAAGAACAGGAAACUGAGGCUACAAUUUGCACAAGCUCAUCGAAAUUGGACAAUAGAAGAUUGGAAAAACGUUGCCUGGUCUGAUGAGUCUCGAUUUCUGCUGCGACAUUCGGAUGGUAGGGUCAGAAUUUGGCGUCAACAACAUGAAAGCAUGGAUCCAUCCUGCCUUGUAUCAACGGUUCAGGCUGGUGGUGGUGGUGUCAUGGUGUGGGGAAUAUUUUCUUGGCACUCUUUGGGCCCCUUGGUACCAAUUGAGCAUCGUUGCAACGCCACAGCCUACCUGAGUAUUGUUGCUGACCAUGUCCAUCCCUUUAUGACCACAAUGUACCCAACUUCUGAUGGCUACUUUCAGCAGGAUAAUGCGCCAUGUCAUAAAGCUGGAAUCAUCUCAGACUGGUUUCUUGAACAUGACAAUGAGUUCACUGUACUCAAAUGGCCUCCACAGUCACCAGAUCUCAAUCCAAUAGAGCAUCUUUGGGAUGUGGUGGAACGGGAGAUUCGCAUCAUGGAAGUGCAGCCGACAAAUCUGCGGCAACUGUGUGAUGCCAUCAUGUCAAUAUGGACCAAGCUCUCUGAGGAAUGCUUCCAGCACCUUGUUGAAUCUAUGCCACGAAGAAUUGAGGCAGUUCUGAAGGCAAAAGGGGGUCCAACCCGUUACUAGCAUGGUGUACCUAAUAAAGUGGCCGGUGAGUGUAUAUCAGGUGAAUUAAGAGAAACUGCAGUUGGUUGUGUGAAAUUGCCUCACGCUGUUACAUGUGUGAGAUUGUUAUAUGUGAAGCUAUAGGCUGUUACAUGUGUGAGAUUGUUAUAUGGGAAGCUAUAGGCUGGGUGCAGAAGCACUUUGUCU